GACGAACGCUGGCGGCGUGCUUAACACAUGCAAGUCGAACGGAAAGGCCCUGCUUUUGUGGGGUGCUCGAGUGGCGAACGGGUGAGUAACACGUGAGUAACCUGCCCUUGACUUUGGGAUAACUUCAGGAAACUGGGGCUAAUACCGGAUAGGAGCUCCUGCUGCAUGGUGGGGGUUGGAAAGUUUCGGCGGUUGGGGAUGGACUCGCGGCUUAUCAGCUUGUUGGUGGGGUAGUGGCUUACCAAGGCUUUGACGGGUAGCCGGCCUGAGAGGGUGACCGGCCACAUUGGGACUGAGAUACGGCCCAGACUCCUACGGGAGGCAGCAGUGGGGAAUAUUGCACAAUGGGCGGAAGCCUGAUGCAGCAACGCCGCGUGCGGGAUGACGGCCUUCGGGUUGUAAACCGCUUUCGCCUGUGACGAAGCGUGGGUGACGGUAAUGGGUAAAGAAGCACCGGCGAAAUACGG
rnacentral:rRNA from 1 species